UGUAGAUAUGGCAUCUCAAGCUCUUCGGGCAAUUCUUUCUACCGAAAGGGGUCAAAAAGCUCUGCAGUCAUUUGUUUCGUACAAGAGAUCUCUUGUUGAGGUCCACUCGAAGGGUAUUAAU